rnacentral:rRNA from 1 species
UAAUACCGCAUACGUCCACCGGGUGCUUCUCGGUGAAGAAAGACCGCCUAUUCUUGAAAGCGGUCGUGCUCAGAGGGGUCCGCGGCUGAUUAGCUAGUUGGUGAGGUAAUGGCUCACCAAGGCGACGAUCAGUAGCCGGCCUGAGAGGGUGAUCGGCCACACUGGAACUGAGACACGGUCCAGACUCCUACGGGAGGCAGCAGUGGGGAAUAUUGGACAAUGGGCGAAAGCCUGAUCCAGCAACGCCGCGUGGAGGAUGAAGGCCUUCGGGUUGUAAACUCCUGUCAGGUGGAACGAAAAAGCCUGCCCAACAAGCAGGUACUAUGACGGUACCACCAGAGGAAGCCCCGGCUAACUCUGUGCCAGCAGCCGCGGUAAUACAGAGGGGGCAAGCGUUAUUCGGAAUUAUUGGGCGUAAAGGGCGCGUAGGCGGCAUUGUAAGUCAGGGGUGAAAUCCCUCGGCUCAACCGAGGAAUUGCCUCUGAAACUGCAUUGCUUGAGACCGGGAGAGGGUAGUGGAAUUCCCAGUGUAGCGGUGAAAUGCGUAGAUAUUGGGAGGAACACCGGUGGCGAAGGCGGCUACCUGGACCGGUUCUGACGCUGAGGCGCGAAAGUGUGGGGAGCAAACAGGAUUAGAUACCCUGGUAGUCCACACUGUAAACGAUGGAUACUAGACGUGGUGGGUCUUGACCCCUGCUGUGUCGAAGUU